rnacentral:rRNA from 1 species
CCUAGGGUGGCAGCAGUGGGGAAUAUUGGACAAUGGGGGCAACCCUGAUCCAGCCAUGCCGCGUGUGUGAAGAAGGCCCUCGGGUUGUAAAGCACUUUCAGUGAGGAAGAACGCCUGGUGGUUAAUACCCAUCAGGAAAGACAUCACUCACAGAAGAAGCACCGGCUAACUCCGUGCCAGCAGCCGCGGUAAUACGGAGGGUGCGAGCGUUAAUCGGAAUUACUGGGCGUAAAGCGCGCGUAGGUGGCUUGAUAAGCCGGUUGUGAAAGCCCCGGGCUCAACCUGGGAACGGCAUCCGGAACUGUCAAGCUAGAGUGCAGGAGAGGAAGGUAGAAUUCCCGGUGUAGCGGUGAAAUGCGUAGAGAUCGGGAGGAAUACCAGUGGCGAAGGCGGCCUUCUGGACUGACACUGACACUGAGGUGCGAAAGCGUGGGUAGCAAACAGGAUUAGAUACCCUAGUAGUC